rnacentral:rRNA from 1 species
UAAUGUAUGGGGAUCUGCCCGAUAGAGGGGGAUAACUACUGGAAACGGUGGCUAAUACCGCAUAAUGUCUACGGACCAAAGCAGGGGCUCUUCGGACCUUGCACUAUCGGAUGAACCCAUGUGGGAUUAGCUAGUAGGUGGGGUAAAGGCUCACCUAGGCGACGAUCUCUAGCUGGUCUGAGAGGAUGAUCAGCCACACUGGGACUGAGACACGGCCCAG